CUACCGGGGUAUCUAAUCCUGUUUGCUACCCACGCUUUCGUGUAUGAGUGUCAGUAUAGGACCAGGUCGCCGCCUUCGCCACCGGUGUUCCUCCUGAUAUCUACGUAUUUCACCACUACACCAGGAAUUCCACGACCCUCUUCCAUACUCAAGUUCUGCAGUUUUGAAUGCACUUCUUGGGUUAAGCCCAAGGCUUUCACAUCCAACUUACAAAACCACCUGCACACGCUUUACGCCCAAUGAUUCCGAACAACGCUAGGACCCCCCGUCUUACCGCGGCUGCUGGCAC
rnacentral:rRNA from 1 species